UACGUAGGGGGCUAGCGUUGUCCGGAAUCAUUGGGCGUAAAGGGCGCGUAGGUGGCGGGACAAGCGUGCGGUGAAAGCUUGGGGCUCAACCCCGAGUCGGCCGUGCGAACUGUCUUGCUUGAGCACUGUAGAGGCAGGCGGAAUUCCGGGUGUAGCGGUGGAAUGCGUAGAGAUCCGGAAGAACACCGGUGGCGAAGGCGGCCUGCUGGGCAGAGCUGACACUGAGGCGCGACAGCGUGGGGACAACAGGAUU
rnacentral:rRNA from 1 species